UGCGAUAGGCACUGGUGUCUGUUCUCUAUCUGAAUAGGAAUAUCUGAAAAUAAAGAAGGGUUUCGUGUAUUCCUUGAGCUGCCUCUCAGUGCCAGCCUGAUGCAGCUGUGCGUGCCAGGAGGAAUGCUCAUCCGGGACGGAAAUCCCUGUCCUGACCCUGUCAUUGGCUCACUUCCUGGAAGACAAACCAGCAAAUGCUCUGGGUCUUUGGUCCUUAUUCUUAAAUGGGAAGAACAACAGCAGCCCAUCUGCCUUGCAGAAUGGAGGGAAAGGACUUUCCAGGCAAAGGAGGGCACCAGGGGCCCUGAAUCAGGAGGAGGACAUGAUUUGGCAAAAGAAGGGAAGAGCAGACAUUCCUCUCGAGAGGAACUAAGUCAAUGGAGACUUGAAGACAGCAGAGAGCAGAGCUCGUUCAAGAGGGCAUGAGUGACAGGCAGAAAGUUCAAGAAGAGCAGUGGUUUCACUUCAAGUCAUUUUUCCGCAGAGCAUCCUGAAUGCAGUUGACUGGUGUUAACUUCUACACCGUGUGGAGUUAUUCAUUCCUGCCCUACAUUUUGCAAUAAAUUUUCAGCAUUGUGUCCCUUUAAUUCUUUUUGACAUGUGGAACUCUGAAGCUGGGAAGGCAAAAGUGGUUCUAGAAUUCACAGAUCCUUACUUUAAUCAAUGCAUUCCUUUUUUGAAUUUUAGCUGUCAGAUCUUAGCCAUGAGACACAGUUCCAAAUAAGAACACUAGAUGGCAGACUAUAAUUACUUUCUGUCCAUCCGUUCUAAAUUAAAAAACAAAACAAAAAACAAAAAGAAAACAACAAAAGCCCCAGUGUGGAAAAACUAAGCACUGCUACACACAUUUUUUUGUUCCCUGACCUCAUGUAAGGAAAUUCAAAUUUUUAUGUCUAACAUCUGUCUGUACCCACUGAAAAAGUGGGGGAAAUAGUUUCAGACCUAUUAAGACAGCAGUUUUUUGCUUUGGUUUGGUUUGGGGUUUUUUGCUUGUUUGUUUUUAGGUGAGUUUUUUGUUGUUGUUGCUCGAUUUUCUUUUAAGUGUUUUGUCCAGUGUAGGAAAGAAACCCAGAAAUAGUGCAGGGAACAGAUAAUGGAAGUAGUAAUGAUGAUGUUAUGAAGUGAGAUUAUAUUGAUUAUAAUAGAUUAAUUUUUUUUGUUUUCUACAGGAAAUGGGUAAGGCGGUUGGGGAUGAACAAGGCAGUGGGAAUUGGAACUGGACAGUGCAAGGUUUGAUCAGGAUAAAUAGCAAAGGCCAAAAGCCACACAGCAUGAUCGCUAAAGAACCUUUGCCACACUUCCAGAAUUCUCUUGGCAUCCCAGGGCUCAGAAAUGCUUCUAAAGUUACUUUAAAGAGACAUCUAGCCAGAAACAAAGGCAAACACUAUAAUGGACUAACUACAAUGUGUAAACUCAGAAUUGAACCUUAGAGCACAGCUUAUCAGGGGAACACAUUGUAACGGUC